rnacentral:rRNA from 1 species
GGAGGAUGCAAGCGUUAUCCGGAAUGAUUGGGCGUAAAGCGUCCGCAGGUGGCUAUGUAAGUCUGCUGUUAAAGAGUGAGGCUCAACCUCAUAAGAGCAGUGGAAACUACAUGGCUAGAGUGCGUUCGGGGCAGAGGGAAUUCCUGGUGUAGCGGUGAAAUGCGUAGAUAUCAGGAAGAACACCGGUGGCGAAAGCGCUCUGCUAGGCCGCAACUGACACUGAGGGACGAAAGCUAGGGGAGCGAAUGGG